rnacentral:rRNA from 1 species
GAUGAACGCUGGCGGCGUGCCUAAUACAUGCAAGUCGAGCGAACGGACGAGAAGCUUGCUUCUCUGAUGUUAGCGGCGGACGGGUGAGUAACACGUGGAUAACCUACCUAUAAGACUGGGAUAACUUCGGGAAACCGGAGCUAAUACCGGAUGAUAUUUUGAACCGCAUGGUUCAAAAGUGAAAGACGGUCUUGCUGUCACUUAUAGAUGGAUCCGCGCUGCAUUAGCUAGUUGGUAAGGUAACGGCUUACCAAGGCAACGAUGCAUAGCCGACCUGAGAGGGUGAUCGGCCACACUGGAACUGAGACACGGUCUAGACUCCUACGGGAGGCAGCAGUAGGGAAUCUUCCGCAAUGGGCGAAAGCCUGACGGAGCAACGCCGCGUGAGUGAUGAAGGUCUUCGGAUCGUAAAACUCUGUUAUUAGGGAAGAACAUAUGUGUAAGUAACUGUGCACAUCUUGACGGUACCUAAUCAGAAAGCCACGGCUAACUACGU